GUCACUUAAUCACACUGGUUGUGUUCUGUGUCUGUUUUCUUCUGAUCUCAUCACUGAUGGUGGGCAUAUGGUGGCUGAUCAGAAAACAAGGAGCUAUACAAUGUUAUUGUGGAAGAACACCACAAAAGGAGGAGAACGACAUGCCAAUGACAGGGGAGGGUGAUGGUAUGUUUUUCAAGCUCUCCAAUAAAACUAUUGUUCUAUUAAUGAACAUUUAUUUCACAUUCUGGGAUAUUUCUUUGUCUUAGAUGGAACUUCAAACGUGGAGGAAGAAUCCAGUGAUGAAUUUGCCUAUGACAGUGUGGCCGGUGGGGAGGAGUACCAGGAUGUGGGUGACGAGAUUGAGACAUACCAUGACAUCGAGGAUGCCAUGUACCAAGAAAUUCCGGGUGAAACACGGAAUAUUAAACACGUUAUAGUACGUAUUCGAGAGAAUACAGACUUGAGACCUUCUCCUCAGAGCUGUGGUGUAUCAGAUGCAGCAAAUCAAGGCCCAGAUACUGAAGUUGUGUACGCCAAAUCAUGCAAGAAGACAGGACGUCAUCAAUACAUGUCUUAAUCAUUAUUAGAUCUGCAUUAUUUCAAAGCAGUACUGCAUGUGUACUACAGUAUCUAUACAUAUGUAUUAGAUGUAUUGUGUAUUCAAUGCGUGUCUUGCGUUGGACUACUCCCUUCAUGGUCAAGAUGUUUUGUGACCUGACAUUUGCGCUGCAUUGUGUUAUAUCUUCAGUGGAAGUCAUUUUAAAGUUGUUUGGAGUAAUAUUAAAGUACCACAUUAAGCAUUAUUGCU